UACGUAGGUGGCAAGCGUUGUCCGGAUUUACUGGGCGUAAAGAGCGCGCAGGCGGUCGUUCAAGUCGCGUGUGAAAGCCCCCGGCUCAACUGGGGAGGGUCACGCGAUACUGAUCGACUCGAAGGCAGGAGAGGAAAGUGGAAUUCCCGGUGUAGUGGUGAUAUGCGUAGAUAUCGGGAGGAACACCUGUGGCGAAGGCGGCUUUCUGGGCCUUACCUGACGCUGAGACGCGAAAGCGUGGGGAGCGAACCGG
rnacentral:rRNA from 1 species